GAUGAACGCUGGCGGCGUGCCUAAUACAUGCAAGUCGAGCGAACAGACGAGGAGCUUGCUCCUCUGACGUUAGCGGCGGACGGGUGAGUAACACGUGGAUAACCUACCUAUAAGACUGGGAUAACUUCGGGAAACCGGAGCUAAUACCGGAUAAUAUAUUGAACCGCAUGGUUCAAUAGUGAAAGACGGUUUUGCUGUCACUUAUAGAUGGAUCCGCGCCGCAUUAGCUAGUUGGUAAGGUAACGGCUUACCAAGGCAACGAUGCGUAGCCGACCUGAGAGGGUGAUCGGCCACCCUGGAACUGAGACACGGUCCAGACUCCUACGGGAGGCAGCAGUAGGGAAUCUUCCGCAAGGGGCGAAAGCCUGACGGAGCAACGCCGCGUGAGUGAUGAAGGUCUUCGGAUCGUAAAACUCUGUUAUUAGGGAAGAACAAAUGUGUAAGUAACUAUGCACGUCUUGACGGUACCUAAUCAGAAAGCCACGGCUAACUACGUG
rnacentral:rRNA from 1 species